rnacentral:rRNA from 1 species
ACCCGAUUCCAUUUCGAACUCGGAAGUGAAAACGCUCAGCGCCGAUGGUAGUGUGGGGUCUCCCCAUGUGAGAGUAGGACACCGCCAGGA